GAAAGUAAGUAAGGGCGUAUGGGGGAUGCCUAGGCUCUUGGAGGCUAAGAAGGACGUGGUAAGCUGCGAAAAGCUGCGGGGAUUUGCAAACGAGACUCGAUCCGCAGAUAUCCGAAUGGGACAACCCGGCAGGUAGAAGACCUGUCAUACCGCGAGGUGAGCUAACCCUCUGAACUGAAACAUCUAAGUAGGAGGAGGAAAAGAAAGAAACAUCGAUUUCCAAAGUAGCGGCGAGCGAAAUGGAAGAAGCCCAAACCGAUAUUGUUACGGCAAUAUCGGGGUUGUAGGACUGCAAUAUUCAAUUAACAAUGAACUGGAAUGGUCUGGAAAGUCCAUCCAUAGAGAGUGAAAGGCUCGUACAGGUAAGUUUGUUAUGCGAAAGCAGUAUCCUGAGUAUGGCGGGACACGAGGAAUCCUGUCAGAAUCAGCCGGGACCACCCGGUAAGGCUAAAUACUCCCAAGAGACCGAUAGUGGACCAGUACUGUGAAGGAAAGGUGAAAAGAACCCCGAACAGGGGAGUGAAAUAGAACCUGAAACCAUACGCUUACAACCGGUCGGAGCAGCUUCGUGCUGUGACGGCGUGCCUAUUGAAUAAUGAGCCUACGAGUUACUAAUCACUAGCGAGGUUAAGUGCAAGGAUGCACGGAGCCGAAGCGAAAGCGAGUCUGAACAGGGCGUUUAGUUAGUGGUUGUAGACGCGAAACCUUGCGAUCUACCCUUGAGCAGGUUGAAGGUUGGGUAAAACCAACUGGAGGACCGAACGAAUAAGCGUUGAAAAGCUUCUCGAUGACUUGAGGGUAGGGGUGAAAGGCUAAUCAAGCUGGGAAAUAGCUCGUACUCCCCGAAAUGCCUUUUGGGGCAGCGUUGUAAUAAAGAGUCUACUGGAGGUAGAGCUACUGAUUGGAUGCGGGGGCUUCACCGCCUACCAAAUCCUGACAAACUCCGAAUGCCAGUAGUAUGAUUUACAGCAGUGAGUGACUGGGUGCUAAUGUCCAGUCGCAAAAGAGGAACAACUCAGACCAGCAACUAAGGUCCCGAAGAAUAUGCUAAGUUGAUCUAACGAUGUUUUGUUGCAGAGACAGCUAGGAUGUUAGCUUGGAAGCAGCUAUUCAUUCAAAGAGUGCGUAACAGCUCACUAGUCGAGCGACAGAGCGUGGAUAAUAAACGGGCAUCAAGCAUAUCACCGAAGUUCUGGGCGCGAGAGCGCGGUAGGGGAGCAUUCCAUUCAGCGUCGAAGCAGUUUCGUGAGGAAUUGUGGAGCGUAUGGAAAAGCAAAUGUAGGCAUGAGUAACGAUAAUGCGGGAGAGUAACCCGCACACCGCAAGACCAAGGUUUCCUGAUCAACGCUAAUCGGAUCAGGGUUAGUCGGGUCCUAAGGGUAAGCCGAACGGCGAUCUCGAUGGAUAAUCGGUUAAUAUUCCGAUACUAACAUAUACCUCGAUGGAGAGACGAAGGAACGUAAGUGCCGCCACCUGACGGAAUAGGUGGUUAAAGGGCGUAGAUAUAGGGGCAGAUUAAGAGUUAGUCCUUGCUGAAACCUGACAGUACAGAGAGCCUACGGGCAAUUUGAUAGAGCACCCAAGUCGACUUCCGAGAAAAUCUUCUAAGUUAUAGUAUAUGUUACCCGUACCGUAAACCGACACAGGUGGUCGAGGAGAGUAUCCUAAGGUGCUCGAGUGAAUCACGGUUAAGGAACUAGGCAAAUUAACCCCGUAACUUCGGGAAAAGGGGUCCCUAUGAAAGUAGGGCGCAGCGAAGAGGUCCAGGCGACUGUUUAUCAAAAACACAGGGCUCUGCAAAUUCGAAAGAAGACGUAUAGGGCCUGACACCUGCCCGGUGCUGGAAGGUUAAGAGGGGAUGUCAUCGCAAGAGAAGCAUUGAAUCGAAGCCCCAGUAAACGGCGGCCGUAACUAUAACGGUCCUAAGGUAGCGAAAUUCCUUGUCGGGUAAGUUCCGACCUGCACGAAUGGUGUAACGAUCUGGACACUGUCUCAACCGUGAGCUCGGUGAAAUUGUAGUCCCGGUGAUGAUGCCGGGUACCCGCAACGGGACGAAAAGACCCCGUGAACCUUUACUAUAGCUUAACGCUGAAUUUGGGUACACAAUGUGUAGGAUAGGC
rnacentral:rRNA from 1 species